GGUGACCUGCGGAAGGAUCAUUACUGAGUGAGGGCCCUCUGGGUCCAACCUCCCACCCGUGUUUAUUAUACCUUGUUGCUUCGGUGCGCCCGCCUCACGGCCGCCGGGGGGCUUCUGCCCCCGGGUCCGCGCGCACCGGAGACACUAUUGAACUCUGUCUGAAGAUUGCAGUCUGAGCAUAAACUAAAUAAGUUAAAACUUUCAACAACGGAUCUCUUGGUUCCGGCAUCGAUGAAGAACGCAGCGAAAUGCGAUAACUAAUGUGAAUUGCAGAAUUCAGUGAAUCAUCGAGUCUUUGAACGCACAUUGCGCCCCCUGGUAUUCCGGGGGGCAUGCCUGUCCGAGCGUCAUUGCUGCCCUCAAGCACGGCUUGUGUGUUGGGCUCCGUCCCCCCGGGGACGGGUCCGAAAGGCAGCGGCGGCACCGAGUCCGGUCCUCGAGCGUAUGGGGCUUUGUCACCCGCUCUGUAGGCCCGGCCGGCGCCAGCCGACAACCAAUCAUCCUUUUUUCAGGUUGACCUCGGAUCAGGUAGGGAUACCCGCUGAACUUAAGCAUAUCAAUAAGCGGAGGAAAAGAAACCAACAGGGAUUACCUCAGUAACGGCGAGUGAAGCGGUAAGAGCUCAAAUUUGAAAGCUGGCUCCUUCGGGGUCCGCAUUGUAAUUUGCAGAGGAUGUUUCGGGAGCAGCCCCCAUCUAAGUGUCCUGGAACGGACCGUCAUAGAGGGUGAGAAUCCCGUAUGGGAUGGGG
rnacentral:rRNA from 1 species